rnacentral:rRNA from 1 species
AUUGAACGCUGGCGGCAGGCCUAACACAUGCAAGUCGAACGAGUGGCGGACGGGUGAGUAAUGUCUGGGAAACUGCCUGAUGGAGGGGGAUAACUACUGGAAACGGUAGCUAAUACCGCAUACCAUCGGAUGUGCCCAGAUGGGAUUAGCUCGUUGGUGGGGUAAAGGCCUCCCAAGGCGACGAUCCGUAACUGGUCUGAAAGGAUGAUCAGUCACACUGGACCGUAGACACGGUCCAGACUCCUACGUGAGGCAGCAGUGGGGAAUAUUGUACAAUGGGCGAAGGCCUGUUCCAGCCAUGCCGCGUGUGUGAAGAAGGUCUUCGGAUUGUAAAGCACUUUAAGUUGGGAGGCGUUACCAACAGAAUAAGCACCGGCUAACUUCGUGCCAGCCGCCGCGGUAAUAC